ACCUACUCCCACAGGGCCACACCUUCUAAUAGUGCCUCUUCCUGGGCCUAGCAUAUACAAACCAUCAUAUGUAGCUCAACCCCAACUCUUCUGAAACUCUCUUUCUCCAGUCCAUCCUACUUAGGUCUGGGAGCAACCUUUAUCACUGUGUCUUAUGUCAAAAGUCUCCUUCAAGAUGUCCUUUCCAGGGUAUUUCCUGUGUGCUGUGGGGUCACAAUCGUUGCUUGGAAGAAAGUACAGUGAGGUCCCAGAGGGCCAUGGCCUCCUGAACUUCCCUGAAUGGUAGGAAAGUGCUCAAGCCUAAGGUUGCCAUCACCUGUGGUGCCAGUGGCCAGUCCUACUUGGGGGAAAAUGCUGUUUGGAGGAAAUCAUAAUUCCCAAAUGUGGAAUUUUGGCAGUAAUAGGGACUGGGGGUCUUGUCUCUAGUUCUCACACUGUAACCCUGGUACUGCUGAGACAGCUUGAGGAAGGGAGUUUGGCAAGUGACUACACUGGUGAGUUCUGAGGUGCAACCCCAAGGUGGAGAUGUAUGCCUUUCUCAUGAGGACACAGCAAGAAGUCAGCCAUCUCAGAAGGGCAUCUUCACUGGGAACUCAACCUCCUCCAGGUGAACUGUGAGCCUGAUGUCUGUUGCUCAAACCCGUUGUCAGCAUUUUGUACACUAUCUCAAACGGACUCAAGGGAGCAGCAGCCACAUACCCCUGGUUCACUAUUGCCUACACCACAAAGGGGAUCCUUACCACACAGGCUGGGGAGAAGCUCUGUAAUUUCACACAUCAUCCCAUGGUUACAUUUCUGCCGUUCUAACUUAAGGAGUGUGUGCACACUUGCUGGCUGGAAACACAGAGAUGGUGCACACCUGGAGGAACCGGAGCAGGAUUGUUAAAGGUGUUACAGGUGUGAGCACAGGAAACACGGCUUCUCUACACUCUCACCGGAGAUCCACACUGGGAAAAUAUUUACUUUAUACAGAAACAUGUUCCUGGCAUCAAAAUUGGAUCCUACAGCCCAUCUGCUCCCAUAAUUCCUAGAGUCUUACAAUA
rnacentral:sRNA from 1 species